rnacentral:rRNA from 2 species
CACAUGCAAGUCGAGCGCCCCGCAAGGGGAGCGGCAGACGGGUGAGUAACGCGUGGGAAUCUACCCAUCUCUACGGAACAACUCCGGGAAACUGGAGCUAAUACCGUAUACGUCCUUCGGGAGAAAGAUUUAUCGGGNAUGGAUGAGCCCGCGUUGGAUUAGCUAGUUGGUGGGGUAAUGGCCUACCAAGGCGACGAUCCAUAGCUGGUCUGAGAGGAUGAUCAGCCACACUGGGACUGAGACACGGCCCAGACUCCUACGG